CACGUAGGGGGCGAGCGUUGUCCGGAUUCAUUGGGCGUAAAGGGCUAGUAGGCGGCUUGGUAAGUCAGGUGUGAAACCUCCGGGCUCAACCCGGAGCCGCCAUCUGAUACUGCUAUGGCUAGAGUUCGGUAGGGGACCACGGAAUAGAUGGUGUAGCGGUGAAAUGCGCAGAUAUCAUCUGGAACACCGGUAGCGAAGGCGGUGGUCUGGGCCGAAACUGACGCUGAAUAGCGAAAGCGUGGGUAGCGAACAGG
rnacentral:rRNA from 1 species